rnacentral:rRNA from 1 species
CUAAGGUUUCCAGAGGAAGGCUCGUCCGCUCUGGGUUAGUCGGGUCCUAAGCUGAGGCCGACAGGCGUAGGCGAUGGAUAACAGGUUGAUAUUCCUGUACCACCUAUAAUCGUUUUAAUCGAUGGGGAGACGCAGUAGGAUAGGCGAAGCGUGCGAUUGGAUUGCACGUCUAAGCAGUAAGGCUGAGUAUUAGGCAAAUCCGGUACUCGUUAAGGCUGAGCU